GAUGAACGCUGGCGGCGUGCCUAAUACAUGCAAGUCGAGCGAACAGACGAGGAGCUUGCUCCUCUGACGUUAGCGGCGGACGGGUGAGUAACACGUGGAUAACCUACCUAUAAGACUGGGAUAACUUCGGGAAACCGGAGCUAAUACCGGAUAAUAUAUUGAACCGCAUGGUUCAAUAGUGAAAGACGGUUUUGCUGUCACUUAUAGAUGGAUCCGCGCCGCAUUAGCUAGUUGGUAAGGUAACGGCUUACCAAGGCAACGAUGCGUAGCCGACCUGAGAGGGGGAUCGGCCACACUGGAACUGAGACACGGUCCAGACUCCUGCGGGAGGCAGCAGUAGGGAAUCUUCCGCAAUGGGCGAAAGCCUGACGGAGCAACGCCGCGUGAGUGAUGAAGGUCUUCGGAUCGUAAAACUCUGUUAUUAGGGAAGAACAAAUGUGUAAGUAACUAUGCACGUCUUGACGGUACCUAAUCAGAAAGCCACGGCUAACUACGUG
rnacentral:rRNA from 1 species